rnacentral:rRNA from 1 species
AGAGUUUGAUCAUGGCUCAGAACGAACGCUGGCGGCGUGCCUAACACAUGCAAGUCGCACGAGAAAGUACUUCGGUACGAGUAGAGUGGCGCACGGGUGAGUAAUACAUGGGAACGUUCCUUUAGGUGGGGGAUAACUGCUGGAAACGGCAGCUAAUACCGCAUAGUCUCUAACGAGUAAAGAUGCCCUCUAUUUAUAAGGUAUCGCCAAAAGAUCGGCCCAUGUCCCAUUAGCUAGUUGGCAGGGUAAUGGCCUACCAAGGCUACGAUGGGUAGCUGGUCUGAGAGGACGAUCAGCCACACUGGAACUGAGACACGGUCCAGACUCCUACGGGAGGCAGCAGUGGGGAAUCUUGCGCAAUGGGCGAAAGCCUGACGCAGCAACGCCGCGUGAGUGAAGAAGGCCCUUGGGUUGUAAAGCUCUUUCGACUGGGGAGAAGGGUUAUCCUGCGAAUAGUUGGAUAAUUUGACGGUACCAGCAGAAGAAGCACCGGCUAACUCCGUGCCAGCAGCCGCGGUAAUACGGAGGGUGCAAGCGUUGUUCGGAAUUAUUGGGCGUAAAGCGAACGUAGGCGGGCUUGUAAGUAGAUUGUGAAAUCCCUGGGCUUAACCCGGGAAGUGCUGUCUAAACUGCAAGUCUUGAAUUCUCGAGAGGGUGGUGGAAUUCCUGGAGUAGUAGUGAAAUACGUAGAUAUCAGGAGGAACACCGGAGGCGAAGGCGGCCACCUGGCGAGACAUUGACGCUAAGGUUCGAAAGCGUGGGUAGCAAACAGGAUUAGAUACCCUAGUAGUCC